AUUGCACGCUGGCGGCAGGCCUAACACAUGCAAGUCGAGCGAGCGGCGGACGGGUGAGUAAUGUAUGGGGACUGCCCGAUAGAGGGGGAUAACUACUGGAAACGGUGGCUACUACCGAAUACUAUCGGAUAACCCAUAGGGGAUUAGCUAGUCGGUGGGGUAAAGGCUCACCAAGGCGACGAUCUCUCGCUGGUGUGAGAGGAUGAUAGGCAACACUGGUACUGAGACACGGCGCAGACUCCUACGGAGGCAGCAGUGGGUAAUAUUGCACAAGGGUCGCAAGCCUGAUGCAGCCAUGCCGAGUGUAUGAAGAAGGCCUUAGGGUUGUAAAGUACUUUCAGCGGGGAGGCGUUACCCGCAGAAGAAGCACCGGCUAAUUCCGUGCCAGCAGCCGCGGUAAUUC
rnacentral:rRNA from 1 species